CCCUUAGAUGUUCUGGGCUGCACGCGCGCUACACUGAUGCGAUCAACGAGUUUUACCUUUCUCGGUAGAGAUGGGCAACCUUUUGAACUCGCAUCGUGAUGGGGAUAGAUUAUUGUAAUUAUUAAUCUUCAACGAGGAAUUCCUAGUAGGUGCAAAUCAUCAGUUUGCAUCGAUUACGUCCCUGCCCUUUGUACACACCGCCCGUCGCUGCUACCGAUUGAGUGUCCUGGUGAAUUAUUCGGACCGACAGCAUCGGAAGUUUCUUCUGUUGCCGUUGGAAAGUCUUGUAAGCCCUGACACUUAGAGGAAGCAGAANUCGUANCA
rnacentral:rRNA from 1 species